UCUUCUAGAUCUUUCUAGAAGAGAAUUUGAUGACUGCAGACCCUGGCGUUCUUUUAAACCUCUCAGUGAUGAAUUUGAAAGGACCGAGUGCAUCAGUAGUGGAAGUGGAUCAGUAAGCAUUGUAAGAGACCGAGCUCAAGAAAAUUCUACUGUGCAAAAGAUGAGAACAAACCAGACAAAUGCAGGAACACAUAUUGAAAAAAAUCAAAAGAGACAGGUGGCAAAAGAAGAAAAAAAAGAGGAAGAAAGAUGGAAUAACUUGUCCCCAAGUAUUAUAAAUGAAAUUAGAGAAAAUCCUAAUUCUGGCAUAAAAAAAUUAGAA